AUGAAAUGUAGUGCACCACCUUAUAUUCAGAGUGAUUUUACAUGUAGCAGAGAAACUCCACAGGACAAGGCUGACAUGGAGCAGAUAAUACUGCCGUUUGCCACUACAUCAAACACACUAUUCAAGAGCAUACACUUCAGAACAGCUCAGAUAGUCAGCUUUAGUGGUGGGGGAUUAGAGAAGAGAUUAUACAAAUAUGUCAAAGGUGGUAGAUAGAAAUGUAUCUCUCACUACAAGCUGCAAUAGUGUAAAAACAUGAAUACAGUACUAACCUCAAAAAACAUAUGAACAUUUCAUAUACACUGCUCCUGAAUGAAAAUGUACAAAUGCAAACAAACUAUCAAAGGAUUAAAAUAUGAAUAAAAUAACAAUUAAUGGGUAGGAUAUUAGUUAUCACCCAUACAGCUGAGAAAAUGAUUUCCAAAAAUAUACAGUCAGAGAGAGCGUAGGUGUUAGUUGGUAAGAUCCUGCUGUCAUUUAGAAUUUCAUAUCAAAUGAUGCCAAUAGGUAUUAGGUUCAUGAGUUCCUUCCUACUGUAGAGGUGCAACUGCAACAGUUGAUCAUUUGUGAAAUUAGAUUAUUUACACUCAGGACUAGCAUAAGCUUAAUGCAGUAAAAGGAUUUAUGUUGCUUAGUCAGUGUCAUCUGAGAUUUAACACAUUCCACAGGGCAAGGUUGGGCAGGCAUUUAUAAAAGUGGUACAGGCAUGGUUAAAGACAUACUGCAGAUAAUAGAAUAGCACUCUUAAUUUAAAAGAUCUUCAUAUAUCGUCCUACUCUGACUGCAUGUUCCUCCCUCAAAACGGGACUUGGAUAAAUGCCUGUGGCAAAGUUAAGACAGGAAGGUGGUUUAGUUGCACCUUGAACAGGAACGUUUAUUUUAUCUUCAACUCUCCCGUCUAACCAUCCUUUUAUAAUCCCGAGGAUAAAAUACUAAUGAUGUUAUGUUCUCCGGAUAACUGACAGUGAGCUUCAGACAAAACAAAGCCAAGUAGAACAUAGUAAAACAGCAUAUUGUAUAAAAGCAAGAGACAAAAACAAUUUGUGUUAAAGUAACAGGCCUUCUUAUACUGCACCCCUACGAACAUGAACAAACAACAAUUGUUAAAACACUGAGAAACCAAUUGACGAUGGGAGAAUGUGAGAGAAGCACAGACAUGAAUGAAUUCCUUCAGAAGAACAGAAACAUUUCUGAAUGGUUGAAAACUGACAUUUCA
rnacentral:lncRNA from 13 species